GGGCCGCGGGGCUGGAGGGUGGCAGCAGGCUCGGCGAGGGGACGUGCGCGCGGACCCGGCACCGAAGGACGCGGCGGCGGGCGCGGGGCGUGCGCGGCGGGGCAGGCGCUCGCUGCUCGCUCGGGAAGCGCCGCUGCGCGUCGCGGCCAUGUCCUGGCUGUGGCGAGAAAUCCUCCUGGAGAGCCUCCUGGGGUAUGUUUCUUGGUCUCUCUGCCAUGGCCUGGGACCGAUGAUUUAUUACUUUCCCCUGCAAACUCUAGAACUCACUGGGCUUGAAGGUUUUGGCAUAGUGUUUCUUUCUCCAAUAUUCCUAACACUUACUCCUUUCUGGAAAUUGGCUAACAAGAAGUGGAUGCUAAUCCUGUUGCGGAUAAUUACUAUUGGCAGCAUCGCCUCCUUCCAGGCUCCAAAUGCCAGAGUUCGGCUAGUGGUCCUUGCCCUUGGAGUGUCUUCCUCGUUGAUAGUACAAGCCGUGACAUGGUGGACAGGAAGUGGCUUACAAAGGUACCUCAGAAUCUGGGGAUUCAUCUUAGGACAGAUUCUUCUUCUUGUUCUCCGCAUAUGGUACACUUCACUAAAUCCAAUCUGGAGUUAUCAGAUGUCCAACAGAGUGAUACUGACAUUAAGUACCAUAGCCACACUUGAUCGCAUUUACACAGAUGGUGACUGCAGUAAGCCAGAGGGGAAAAAUACUGGAGUGGCAGUCAAGGGCGUGGCCUCCAGACCUACCUGGUGCCUGGCAGGGGCUGCCUUUGGCAGUCUCAUGUUCCUCACCCACUGGAUUUUUGGGGAGGUCUCGCUUGUUUCCAGAUGGGCCGUGAGUGGGCACCCCCAUCCAGGGCCAGAUCCUAACCCAUUUGGAGGUGCAGUUCUGCUGAGCUUGGCGAGCGGAUUGAUGCUCUCAGCUUGUUCAUGGUUUCCUGGUACCAGUUUACUCUGGUGGGUCACAGGAGCAGCUUCAGCUGCGGGCCUUCUUUACCUCCCCACGUGGGCAGCUGCCGUUUCUGGCUGUGUGCUUGCUGUCUUCACAGCGUCCAUGUGGCCUCAAGUGCUUGGACAUCUUAUUAGCUCAGGGUCGGGCCCUGGGAAAGCCAUGACCAUUGCCAUGCUAUUUUAUCUCCUGGAGAUACUUUUCUGUGCAUGGUGCACGGCUUUUAAGUUUGUUCCAGGAGGUGUCUACGCUAGAGAAAGAUCUGAUUUGCUUUUGGGGACAGUGAUGCUAAUUAUUGGACUAAAUAUGCUAUUUAGUCCUAAGAAAAGCCUUGACUUUCUUCAAACAAAAAACAGUCCUAAAGUGCUUUUCAGAAAGAGUGAAAAAUAUAUGAAACUUUUUUUGUGGCUGCUUGUUGGUGUGGGGCUACUGGGAUUAGGACUACGGCAUAAAACCUAUGAGAGGAAAUUGGGCAAAGGGGGACCAGCCACAGAGGUCUCUGCUGCCAUCUGGCCUUUUCGGUUUGGCUAUGACAAUGAAGGAUGGUCCAAUCUAGAAGGAUCGGCUCAGCUGCUCAGUCAAACAGGUGCAGAUUUCAUAACAAUUUUGGAGAGUGAUGCUUCUAAGCCCUAUAUUGGGAACAAUGACUUAACCAUGUGGCUAGGGGAGAAGUUGGGUUUCUAUACCGACUUUGGCCCAAGCACAAGGGAUCACACGUGGGGGAUUAUGGUUUUGUCCCGAUACCCAAUUGUGAAGUCAGAGCACCACCUUCUUCCAUCACCAGAGGGCGAGAUCGCACCAGCUAUAACAAUGACUGUUAACAUCUCGGACAAACUGGUGGAUUUUGUUGUGACACACUUUGGGAAUCAUGAAGAUGACCUUGACAGGAAACUUCAGGCUAUUGCUGUUUCAAAACUACUGAAAAGCAGCUCUAAUCAAGUGAUAUUUCUGGGAUAUAUCACUUCAGCACCUGGUUCCAGGGAUUAUACACAGCUCAUUGAACACGGCAAUGUGAAGGAUAUUGACAGCACAGAUCGAGACAGAUGGUGUGAAUAUAUUAUGUAUCGAGGGCUGAUCAGAUUGGGCUAUGCAAGAAUCUCCCGUGCUGAACUGAGUGACUCUGAAAUUCAGAUGGCCAAAUUUAGGAUCCCUGAUGACCCCAUUAAUUAUAGAGACAACCAGAAAGUAGUCACAGACCAGAGGGCAGUUCCUAAGGAAAUUCAUUUCAAUCCUAGAUUUGGAUCCUAUAAAGAAGGACACCAUUAUGAGAACGAUCACCAUUUUCAUAUGAGUACUCCCAAAUACUUUUUAUGACCUAUUUAAAACAGGAUGCAUUGACUGAGCAAGUCUGUGGAAAACAAAAGUAUAUAAGAAGAGAGAUGCAUGAAAAUGGGAAACUACACACAAAGAACCUCAGUUUUGAAAAAAUAUGGAGAAGCAUGCCCAUCACUAUUCUUCCUGGAGCUAUGAUAGAAUCAUCUGUCUUUUCUCUCAUGGCUGUACAUGACACACUGUGGUGUUAUCUCCAGUCAGGCCCCGGCUGUCAGCACACAGGUCCCACAGAAUGCAUUUUCUUCCCUAGAACCAAGCAGGUAGGUGAUGGAGAGAAUUCAGCCCAACAGCACCAUCUCUGUGGGGAAUAGUAAUUUAAAUGUUCAUGGGGGCACAUUUCAUCUUAGGACUGGAAAGGGCCCUAAAUCUUGUUUUAUCUUUUGGGAUAGAGAUCAAAAAAUAUGAGAGAGAAAUUCAGAGGUUUUAUGUCACAAUCUAAGGGGCUUCCUUACAUCUAUUUAGUAAACAUGUACUGAGCACACUGCCAUAUUCAAAAUAUUAUGUCCCUCGGGUUUUAAAAUAUAUCUACAUGAUACUUUCAGGGAUCACAUCAAUAGUUCAUUACUAGAGCAGUUUUUCUGAAUGUGUAGAAUACCCAAGAAUUUUUUUUUUUUUAAGGAUGCAUUUGAACUUAAAUGACCAUCAACUUAAUUUAGACCGCUAUAUACUUAGGACGCUAUAUAUGAACCUCAUGGUAACACAAACCCAAAACCAAUGACAUAGACACAAAAAAUGAAGAGAAAGAAAACCAAACAUAACACUACAGAAACUCAUCAAUCACAAAGAAGGAGAGCAAAAGAGGAGGAAAGGAAUAGAGAAGAACUACAAAAACAAGCAGAAAACAAUAAGAUGGCAAUAAGUUCACACCUGUCUGCUAGAACUUCACAUACAAGUGGCCUAAAUGCUCCAUGCUCCGAUCAAAAGACAUAGGGUGGCAAAAUAUAUUUUAAAAAACCCAAGUCAUCUGUAUGCUUCCUACAAGAGACUCACUUCAGAUGUAAAGACACAUACCAACUGAAAGUAAAGGGAUGUAAACACAUUUACCACGAAAAUGAAAGCAGAAAAAAAAUAUAUAGUAUCAAACAAAAUAGACAAAAUCAGAGAAAACAAAAACUGGAGCAAGAGACAAGAAGGGCAUUACAUAAUUAUAAAGUGAUCAAUCCAACAACAGAGAAUAACAGUUACAAAAUAUAUGCACCCAACAUUGGAGCACCUAAAUACAUAAAGCAAAUAUUAACAGACAUAAAGAGAGAACUUGAUGGUAAUACAAAAAUGGUAGGGGACUUUAACACCCCACUUACAUCAAUGGGUAGAUUAUCCAGGCAGAAAAUCAAUAAGGAAACAGUGUCUCUGAAUGACACACUAGACCAGAUGGAUAUAACAGAUAUAUAUAGAACAUUCUAUCCCAAACCAACAGAAUACACAUUCUUUUCAAGUGUACAUGGAACAUUCUCCAGAAGAGAUCGCACAAGUUAGGCCACACAACAAGCUUCAGUAAAUUCAAGAAAAUUGAAAUCAUACCUGCAUCUUUUUUUUAUCACAAUGGUAUGAAACUAGAAAUCAACCAUAAGAAAAAACCUGGAAAAAGCACAAACACAAACAUGGAGUCGAAACAUAAUACUAAACAACCAAUGGAUCAAUGAAGGAAUCAAAGAAGAAAUUAAAAGCACAUGGAGACAAAUGAAAAUGAAAACACAAUGGUCCAAAAUCUUUGGGAUGCAGCAAAAGCACUUCUAAGAGGGAAAUAUAUAGUGAUACAAGCCUACCUCAGAAAACAAGAAUAAGUUCAAAUAAACAAUCUAACCUUCACAUCUAAAGGAACUAGAAAAAGAAGAACAAAGAAAUCCCAAAGUGAGUACAAGGAAGGAAAUCAUAAAAAUCAGAGCAGAAAAAAAUGACAUAGAAAUGAAAAAAAAAACACAGAAAAAAAAUCAAUAAACCAAGACCUCGUUCUUCAAAAAGAUAAAGAAAAUUGAUAAACCCUUAGCCAGACUCAUCAAGAAAAAAACAGAAAGGACCCAAAUAAAUAAAAUCAGAAAUUAAAGAGAAGUAACUAUGACACUACAGAAAUGCAAAGGAUUAUAAGAGAAUACUAUAGGAAAUUAUAUGCCAACAAAUUGGACAACCUAGAGGAAAUGGAUAAAUUCUCAGAAAUAUACAAUCUUACAAAACCGAAUCCGUAGGAGAAUCUGAACAGACCAAAUACUAGUAAUGAAAUUGAGUUGGUAAUCAAAAAAACUACCAAAAAAUAAAAAUCCAGGACCACACGGUUUCACAGGUGAAUUCUACCAAACACUUAAAAAAGAAUUAACACCUCUUCUCCUCAAACUAUUCCAAAAAAUAGAAGAGGAGGGAAAUCUUCCAAAUAAAUUCUAUGAGGUGAGCAUUACCCUGAUGCCAAAACCAAAUGAAGACACCACAAACCGCGCCCCCCCCCCAAAAAAAAACUAUAGGCCAAUAUCCCUGAUGAAAUAGAUGCAAAAAUCAUCAGCAAAAUAUUAGCAAAUUGCAUUCAACAAUACAUUAAGAGGAUCAUCGGGAUUGAGUGGGAUUUAUUCCAGGGAUGCAAGGAUGAUUCAAUAUGUUGAAAUCAAUCAGCGUGAUAUA